UACAGAGGUCUCAAGCGUUGUUCGGAUUCAUUGGGCGUAAAGGGCGCGUAGGCUGCUGGGCAAGUCGGGUGUGAAAUCUCAGAGCUCAACUCUGAAACUGCACUCGAUACUGCUUUGCUCGAGGACUGGAGAGGAGAUUGGAAUUCACGGUGUAGCAGUGAAAUGCGUAGAUAUCGUGAGGAAGACCAGUGGCGAAGGCGGAUCUCUGGACAGUUCCUGACGCUGAGGCGCGAAGGCCAGGGGAGCAAACGGG
rnacentral:rRNA from 1 species